GCCACUGGGUUAGUCAGGCGGGACUCGCCCUUGGUGAAGCUGUGCUGUUCUGAAUCACCUUCCCAUUGUGCAUGUGCCUUAGCUUCUAGGUGAAUCUGUUCCAUGAUCUUCCUAGGCACAGAGGUGAGGCUGAGAGCUUGACAGAUUUGUGCUGCCAUCUUUGUGCCAUAUUGCACACCAGACAUCAGGAUAAAACCUGCAGUGAUGAUGCUGUGGAAUCUAAUUGGUUUUUAGGAACAGAAGCCAUGAUGUUUGGGCCAGCCAAUAUCUAAAAUUGAAGUCCGGAAGCAGUUCUGUCUGAUGCUGCAAAAACAGAUCUGCAAGUGUGAAAUCAGUAGACUGUAAGGACUGUCAAGUAUAUCCACUGACUCCAAGGUCUGUAUCGCACCUGGAGGCCCUUCCGUGUGCACAGAUGGCACAGACUGCCCGGGUCCCUGCAGAGCCGGGCACCUCUCCCCACUGACAGCGUCCCCACAGCUCAGCAUCCUGGUGAAAAUCCCAAAUAUGUUUGAAAAUGGAAUUACCAAACGUGGUGUUCUACGUCAAGCGUAAACAGGAGAAAAAGCUCCAAGCUCUGCUCCUGUAUGGUAACAAAACCGUUCCUUUCUGAACAACUGUUUUUUUUUUUUUUUUUUUUUUUUUUUUUUUUUUGUUGUCACAGAAUUGAUAGAGUUGGAACGGACCUCUG